rnacentral:rRNA from 1 species
UACGGAGGGUGCAAACGUUGUCCGGAAUCACUGGGCGUAAAGCGCAUGUAGGUGGUUUGGUAAGUCUGCGAUUAAAGACCGUCGCUUAACGACGGGAAUGUUACAGAUACUACUUUACUUGAGGAUAGCAGGGGUACAUGGAACUUUGAGUGUAGGAGUGAUAUCCGUAGAUAUUACACAGAACACCAAUUGCGUAGGCAGCUUACUGAGCCGACACUGACGCUGAGGCACGAAAGCGUGGGGAUCGAACAGG